CCCUUAGAUGUCCUGGGCCGCACGCGCGCUACACUGACAUGUUCAACAAGCCUCCUAGUUCGACAGGAUUUGGGAAAUCUUUGAACGCAUGUCGUGAUAGGGAUAGAUCAUUGCAAUUAUUGAUCUUGAACGAGGAAUUCCUAGUAAACGCGAGUCAUCAGCUCGCAUUGAUUACGUCCCUGCCCUUUGUACACACCGCCCGUCGCACCUACCGAUUGAAUGUUUCGGUGAAGAUUCCGGAUAGGACUUUUUUGAUUUAUUUCAAUUUUGUCUUAAAAGCUAACUAAACCUCAACAUUUAGAGGAAGGUGAAGUCGUAACA
rnacentral:rRNA from 1 species